rnacentral:rRNA from 1 species
AGUGAACGCUGGCGGUAGGCCUAACACAUGCAAGUCGAACGGCAGCACAGUAAGAGCUUGCUCUUACGGGUGGCGAGUGGCGGACGGGUGAGGAAUACAUCGGAAUCUACUUUUUCGUGGGGGAUAACGUAGGGAAACUUACGCUAAUACCGCAUCCGACCUACGGGUGAAAGCAGGGGAUCUUCGGACCUGGCGGGAGUGAAUGAGCCGGCGUCUUAUUAGCUAGUUGGGGGGGUAGUGGCCCACCAAGGCGCUGACGGGUAGCCGGCCUGAGAGGGUGACCGGCCACAUUGGGACUGAGAUACGGACCAGACUCCUACGGGAGGCAGCAGUGGGGAAUAUUGCACAAUGGGCGGAAGCCUGAUGCAGCAACGCCGCGUGCGGGAUGACGGCCUUCGGGUUGUAAACCGCUUUCGCCUGUGACGAAGCGUGAGUGACGGUAAUGGGUAAAGAAGCACCGGCUAACUACGUG